UAUAGUCACAAGAAAUACUCGCUCCUGAUUGGCUGAGGAAAGAUGGCCGUGUUCUAACGUGUGUCACGAGAUAACAUCGUGAGGACCAGGUCGCCGCUGUAAUUAUAACCAUAUGGACAGGGGUCGGGUUGGUCUGGCCGUGUGACGUGGCAGGCAAGACAGGACACGACGCGAGAGAGGAUCGACGUGGAUGUUUACAGAGUAAUGUACUGCGUAGAGUACAGAGGGCUGGGAAACAGAAUGACGUUGAUCAGUUUAACAAGUAUAUGGCUGUCACCCGUAUUUGAACGCGCACGUGACAUUCUGGUAGUACUGCUGGGCUGGAGUUCAACCAAGAUAGAGACGGGAACAGAGUGAUCGAGAGAACUGAGGACGUGGCAAGGCUACUGGGCCUGUGAUGGGUGGCGCGCGGGGCAGGGAGGCAGAAAUAACACAUAAAGAUGCCCGCCGAUCCCUGACCCUGAAGAGAACGCCAGCCCGGAGAAAUCUUACUACUGUAUUGACACUCGGGGAGCGGGGCAAGAUGCGGCGGGUACGGGCGGUGGUAUAAGGCGGGAAAGGGAUCUCAAGACUACUCGUCAGAAGGAAAGUUACAACGCCGUAGGGAUACGUACUUGACGAUUACGUCAGACGAUGGCGGUUCCAGUAGGUCAAUGUUCGAAGCAGCUGCGGGUAAACGUCUUUCGGUAUGUCGUCAAGGCCAACCUACCGGACAAGAGCGACGACGACGAGGUGAUCCUGACAGACAUAUAUUACGUCCAUCAGAACGACACAUUCCCGCCACACCCAACAUAGAGACUCUUACCGGCACAAGGGAAGUAAGUCGAGUCCCUUCACGACUAGUGGCCAUCGCUGAGAGGAGCCAGAAUAUACGUUUGAGCGGCUUGAACAUUCUUAACAGAAGGGAGCCACACAACAUCCAGAACAGCGCCAUCGACAGAAGGAAGGCAACAUGAGGGAAGUAGAGGCCAGUAGCAGAGCCAAGACGUACAGCCGAUAGUUGUGAUCAUACUUGUCCAUGUAUAGAAAACCUGAC